rnacentral:rRNA from 1 species
GAUGAACGCUCGCGGCAGGCUUAACACAUGCAAGUCGAGGGGUAGAAGUUGCUUGCAACUUUGAGACCGGCGCACGGGUGCGUAACGCGUAUGCAAUCUACCUUAUACAGAGGGAUAGCCCAGAGAAAUUUGGAUUAAUACCUCAUAGUAUAAUUGAAUGGCAUCAUUUAAUUAUUAAAGUUCCAACGGUAUAAGAUGAGCAUGCGUCCUAUUAGCUAGAUGGUAAGGUAACGGCUUACCAUGGCAACGAUAGGUAGGGGUCCUGAGAGGGAGAGCCCCCACACUGGUACUGGGACACGGACCAGACUCCUACGGGAGGCAGCAGUGAGGAAUAUUGGACAAUGGGCGCAAGCCCGAUCCAGCCAUGCCGCGUGCAGGAAGAAGCAUCUAUGGUGUGUAAACUGCUUUUGUACGGGAAGAAACACUCCUUCGUGAAGGAGCUUGACGGUACCGUAAGAAUAAGGAUCGGCUAACUCCGUGCCAGCCGCCGCCGUAAAAC